GAUGAAGAACGUAGCGAAAUGCGAUAAGUAGUGUGAAUUGCAGAAUUCAGUGAAUCAUCGAAUCUUUGAACGCACAUUGCGCCCCCUGGUAUUCCGGGGGGCAUGCCUGUUCGAACGUCAUUUCACCACUCAAGCCUCGCUUGGUAUUGGGCAACGCGGUCCGCCGCGUGCCUCAAAUCGACCGGCUGGGUCUUCUGUCCCCUAAGCGUUGUGGAAACUAUUCGCUAAAGGGUGUUCGGGAGGCUACGCCGUAAAACAACCCCAUUUCUAAGGUUGACCUCGGAUCAGGUAGGGAUACCCGCUGAACUUAAGCAUAUCAAUAAGCGGAGGA
rnacentral:misc_RNA from 1 species